rnacentral:Y_RNA from 1 species
GGUUGGUCCAAGUGCGGUGGUGUUUACAACUAAUUGAUCACAACCCAGUUACAGAUUCCUUUGUUCCUUCUGCACUCCCAAUGCUUCACUUGACCAGAAGA